GGUUGACAGUUAAACCUAGAUCAUCCUAGAGCAUUCAGAAUCAAAGAGAUGAAUUAUGCGGUAACCAUAUGCAUAAGUUCUAAAAUAUUUUUUUGCAAUAAUUUGACCUAUCUAAACAUCGAAAACUAUUACUAGAUGGUAUUUUGAUAGUACAGAAAUCAAUUUCUAUACUACCGACUAAGUGUUUGAACCUAUGGAGUCAUGCACACAAGUCAGACAAGGUAGAAAAGUAUUAGCCUAUGUUUCUAUGUCUAAUUUAAAAGUACUUGAUUUGAUUGAAUAUAUAAGCUAACUUGAUUGAGAAUUAAAUUAUGGAUCAAACGGGAUUAAAGAGUUGACUGUAUCUAGCUAGCACUACACAUGAGGUUCUGGUUCAAUCCUGAGGA
rnacentral:lncRNA from 1 species